rnacentral:rRNA from 1 species
CACGUAGGGCGCAAGCGUUGCCCGGAAUUAUUGGGCGUAAAGAGCUCGUAGGCGGUCUGUUACGUCUGCUGUGAAAACCCUGGGCUUAACCCUGGGCUUGCAGUGGAUACGGGCAGACUAGAGGCAGGUAGGGGAGAAUGGAAUUCCCGGUGUAGCGGUGAAAUGCGCAGAUAUCGGGAGGAACACCGGUGGCGAAGGCGGUUCUCUGGGCCUGACCUGACGCUGAGGAGCGAAAGCGUGGGGAGCGAACAGG